rnacentral:tRNA from 1 species
GCUGGUAUAGCUCAGUUGGCAGAGCAGCUCAUUCGUAAUGAGCAGGUCGCGGGUUCAAGUCCCAUUACCAGCUCCA